rnacentral:lncRNA from 1 species
AGAUAUUCCUAUGUAUGUAAAACGCACUUUGAACGAUGAGUGUAAAAGAGCAUUUUUCGAAAAUAGCAUUUUUUAUGGGUUUUUCGGCAAUUUUCCAUUGUGUUCAGAGCUAAAAAGCCAAUUGAUGAGUAGUUCUGUACUGCUUGGUUCGGGUAUAAGGAAGAACUAGCUAAUACAGAGAUAGGUACAAGUAUAGAUAAGAAAAAUAGCGUUUGGAUGAAAAUUAGAUUGUUCCCGGAGAUAAGAAAAUAUUAGGUAGUUUUAUAUAGAAAAUAGAGGUGUUGAUGGGGAUAAUCGAGAACUAUUAUUCUAGGGUAAAAAAUUAGCGUUUGAAUAUAAAAGGGAUAAAGGUUUAUUCCUAUUCCUAUCCCCUAAUCAAUAUAGUGAACAAUAAAUAUAUUCUUAUAAAGUUUAACUUUUAUAUAUUGUUUCUGUAAAAGUUCUAAUAUUUUUAAACAUAUCUUUCUGAUUUAUUACCAUUGAAAAAUAUUAGAGAACUGUUUAUAUCUUUAAUUUUACCAUCACAAAUAUAUCAUUUUAAAAAUUACAAUAAUAUAAUAUAAGAAGGAUAAAAAUAUUAAAAACCAACCAGAAUUAAAUAUCUAACCUAUGAUUAAUUAAAAUUUUCUAAUAAAUUCUAACGGUAGGGAGAUAUUUGAAAAUAUCAUAUAUUUUAUAAAAACAAUAUAAAAAAAUUAAAUUUUAUAGAAAUAUAUUUAUUAUUUACUAUAUUUAUAGAUAUCUAUAUGAAAUUAAUCCUUAAAUAAAGAGUGGUAUAAAUAAGCAAGAUGUAGUA